rnacentral:rRNA from 1 species
CCUACGGGAGGCAGCAGUGGGGAAUAUUGGGCAAUGGAGGAAACUCUGACCCAGCGACGCCGCGUGCGGGAUGAAGGCCUUCGGGUUGUAAACCGCUUUCAGCAGGGGAGAAGCGAAAGUGACGGUACCUGCAGAAGAAGCACCGGCUAACUAUGUGCCAGCAGCCGCGGUAAUACAUAGGGUGCGAGCGUUGUCCGGAAUUAUUGGGCGUAAAGAGCUCGUAGGUGGUUCGUCACGUCGGAUGUGAAAAUCUGGGGCUUAACCCCAGACCUGCAUUCGAUACGGGCGAGCUUGAGUAUGGUAGGGGAGUCUGGAAUUCCUGGUGUAGCGGUGGAAUGCGCAGAUAUCAGGAGGAACACCAAUGGCGAAGGCAGGACUCUGGGCCAUUACUGACACUGAGGAGCGAAAGCGUGGGGAGCGAACAGGAUUAGAUACCCUGGUAGUCCACGCCGUAAACGGUGGGCACUAGUUGUGGGGACCUUCCACGGUCUCUGCGACGCAGCUAACGCAUUAGGUGCCCCGCCUGGGGAGUACGAUCGCAAGNUUAAAACCUCAAAUGAAUUGACGGCUGNGACGNGCGAGACGACGACGAGGGAGAGG